rnacentral:rRNA from 1 species
ACGGCCGCAAGGUUAAAACUCAAAUGAAUUGACGGGGGCCCGCACAAGCGGUGGAGCAUGUGGUUUAAUUCGAUGCAACGCGAAGAACCUUACCUACCCUUGACAUCCAGAGGACUUUCCAGAGAUGGAUUGGUGCCUUCGGGAACUCUGAGACAGGUGCUGCAUGGCUGUCGUCAGCUCGUGUUGUGAAAUGUUGGGUUAAGUCCCGUAACGAGCGCAACCCCUAUCCUUAUUUGCCAGCGAGUAAUGUCGGGAACUCUAAGGAGACUGCCGGUGACAAACCGGAGGAAGGUGGGGACGACGUCAAGUCAUCAUGGCCCUUACGGGUAGGGCUACACACGUGCUACAAUGGCAAGUACAAAGGGUUGCAAUACGG